GAUGAACGCUGGCGGCGUGCCUAAUACAUGCAAGUCGAGCGAACGGACGAGAAGCUUGCUUUUCUGAUGUUAGCGGCGGACGGGUGAGUAACACGUGGAUAACCUACCUAUAAGACUGGGAUAACUUCGGGAAACCGGAGCUAAUACCGGAUAAUAUUUUGAACCGCAUGGUUCAAAAGUGAAAGACGGUCUUGCUGUCACUUAUAGAUGGAUCCGCGCUGCAUUAGUUAGUUGGUAAGGUAACGGCUUACCAAGGCAACGAUGCAUAGCCGACCUGAGAGGGAGGUUGGCCAGCCUGGAAGUGAGACACGGUCCAGACUCCUACGGUAGGCAGCAGUAGGGAAUCUUCCGCAAUGGGGGAAAGCCGGACGGAGCAACGCCGCGUGAGUGAUGAAGGUGUUCGGAUCGUAAAGCUCUGUUAUUAGGGGAGAAGAUAUGCGUAAGUAACUGUGCACAUCUUGACGGUACCUAAUCAGAAAGCCACGGCUAACUACGUG
rnacentral:rRNA from 1 species